UCCACCUGCAGCAAUUCUGAUAGCUGUUAGUACUAAACUGAUUCCGAAGGUGUAAGUUGUGAUUGUUCUUUUUAAAUCUUCACUUUUUUUGUAUACAAUAGGUUAUUAUAAUGAGAUUGCUGUCCAAAAUUUAUUACCUUUAUAGAUUACACUCAGCAACAUACAGGUGAUUGUAUAACACUAUGUUUUCUAUAAUUACCUUCCUCAAAACUGUCUGCCACAUCAGUAUAUGCCCAGGAGAGGAGUUGUUCAACCUGCAGCAAUUUUGAUAGCUGUGAGUUCUAUAGUGAUUCCGAAGAUGUAAGUUGUGAUUGCUCUUUUUAAAUCUUCAUGUUUCUUUGUAUACAAAAGGUUAUUAUAUUAUUCUUCCUCCUUUUAUCACACUUUUUGCUAACAAGAAUGCUAUGCAAACCCAAAAGGAUGUAUACUGUACAUACUUCAGCAUAGAGUUCAUAAAGUCCAGAAGUUAUAGGCAUACAACCAUACUGCCAAGUGCCAAUCUGCAUAAGUGCAUAACACAUUAAAACUAAUAGUGUCUACUUAAUAAACCAACAUUGUGUCCUUAAUAAACUAAUACGGAGUAGUAAAUGAAAUAAAAACUUGAAACUUAAAACACAAGACAACACAGUUCAUUUGGAGCCUGGAGAUAAAUAGAACUUAUAACUUAAUAUAAUACUUAAUAUAAUACAGAAACUCACUUUUUUUUUUUUUUGAAAACCAGAAACUCACCAAUACACUUAAAACAUAAUAGAACUUAAAACUUACAACACAGUAAAUCACAAACACACUUAAAACUUUAAACCAGUAAUUCAUAUGAACUUAUUUUAAUAUAAAAUCUGAAGUUAAUAGAAUUAUACACAAUUAGAAAUUACCUUGAAUAGAUUAUUGGAAUUUUUGGAGUCUGGAGACUUUGAUUUAUAUAAAUCAAACUAUCAACUAAUCAAGAACUAAUAAAAGUGAACAAAUAAAUAAAAAAAUUCUGGAUUCUGAAACAUUCAAUUGUACUGUGUAACAUCUUUUUUUUUAUGGUAAAUCAAACUAACAACUAAUCAAAGUAAAAAAAUAAUGGAAUAGAAUCUAUAAAAUUAGUAUGCAAGUUCGAAACUUUCACUUUGGAGUUGGAACUUUGAAUAAGUGAAGAACGAAUUUAUGUGAUAUGUUUUAUGUGAAUCAAAGUAUCAACUAAUCAAUAGAACAAAGAGAUGCUCACUAUAGACUUCUGUCUUGUGUGUUGCAUGCACAAGAGCCAAAGAAAAAUGCAAAAAAGAAAAGAAAUAAAUUUAAACAUUAAAAUAAGUCCAACACUCAGCACACUGCGGAACCCGGGAGACAUAUUUCCACUUGGAAUUGGCUCAAUCUUAAACAAAUGGAAAGAGAUAUUGAGGUGUUGAAGCACUAACACAAAGAAAUUAAAGAUGCAAACAGAAAUGGAAAGGUACUGACUAAGAUAAGAGCAACAUAGCUUUAAGUAGGAUAUGGUGUAACCUUAGUCAAAUUACUCUUUUAUGUGUUCACUUGAGAGCAGAAAAGUUUGUUAAAACUGAAGGUUCAGGGGCAAAAAAUGUUUAAUUGCAUACAGUUAAGAUUUGAGAAGAAUGUUAUUUAAUAAAAACAAUCAGUGGAGUUUCUUUCUAUUUGCUAAACACUUGGUAUAGAAUAGGAAUGGAAUGGAAAAAAGAGAAAAAAGGCAAUUUAACUUCAAUAAUCAAUAUGUUUCAAAGAGUCGAUCCAUACAGCUUGAGUAAUUCAAAACGUAUUCAUAUUUUCAUAAUCCAAGCGCAAGAAUCUCAAAUACAAAUUACACUCCAUAUUGAAUAGGCUAAUAAAUUGAAAGAACAAAAAGACAUAAAACCAUGAAACACGGAGCUACAAAUAGAGGUAAAGUUCAAGACAUACCUAAUUUCGUUUCUUUAAUUCUACUAAUACCUUAUAAUUACCACAAUAAUGUAAACCACAUCUUAUUGAAAUCUUUUUAACCUUUAUAUUAUGAAAACUUCUUAGUUGUUCUUCAGCAAGUUCAUCAGAGAAGGAAGAUCAAAUUAUACUGAAGAACCUCGAGGGGUUUACCAUUGAUUGUAUGAUGAAAACGGAGCUUAAAAAAUUGCAAGUUCAACACAGGAGGAAGAUCACAUUAUAGUGAAGAACCUCAAGGGGCUUACAAUUGACUAUAUGAUGAAAACAGAGCUACAAAUAGAGGUAAAGUUCACGACAUGCCUAAUUUCGUUUCUCUAAUUCUACUAAUACCUUAUACUUACAACAAUAAUGGUAACCGCAUCUUAUUGAAAUCUUUUUAUCCUUUUUAUUAUGAAAACCUCUUCGGUAUACAAAAACUUAAGCUGGCUACUUAAUAAACUAACAGUGAAUCAACAAAAAACUUAAAACUUAAAACAUAGUAUAACACAGUUUAGGAGCUUGGAGAGAAAUAGAACUGAAAACUUAAUACUGAAUAUAACAUAGUAACUCACUAAUACACUUAAAACUUAAUUGAACUUAAAACAAAGUGAAGUCACUAACAGACUUAAAAUCCAAAUCAAAUAAUCAAAUACUAACAUACUCUUACAAAUCACUAAUUGAAUGGGGGCAAGAAAAUUCACAAAACUACAUAAAAUAAACAAAGUACCAUAUGACAGUAAACUGCCAAAAUCUCUUAAUAAAGCUCUGUUAGCGAGAUGAUUGCAAUUCUGAAUUAAAUAAUCCACUUUCAACAUGUUGGCAAAGAUUAUGGAUUAUAAUCGUAAAACACUUUGUAGCUUAUAAGCCAAACCAUAAGUAACUUAGGAAUUAGUUUAUUGAUUAUUAACAAUCCACACACGAAACCAUAACUAUAAAUUAUGUAUGUGCUUUAAGAGCUACAUAGAUAUGUUACAGCUCUAUUCCAAAAAAAAAAAAAAAUGUUACAACACUAAAAACUAAAGAUCUCUCACUCAUACUAAUUACUAAUUAAAGGUAAACAAACAAGCAUACAACUUCAUUCCAUUAGAAAGCUAUUUCUUAAAACAAAAUCAUAGCCAAGAGAUAGAUGUUUGCCUUAAAUUACAUAAAUAAAAAAUGCAAGAUCUAAUAUGAUCAAUUAUGCAGGAACUGGCUAAUUAUCAUAGUAAUUUCCAGAACCUAAAUAUUCCCUUUCAAGAAAUCAUAAUAACAAUAAAUAAUUUAUGUUACAAAGAAGAAAACACAGAUCAAAAUCAUGAGCAAAAACAUCACCAUCUAGCCGAUAAUCUAACAUUUCUCAUCAAGUUUCAUGUUUUGUAAUAUAAUUUUGUAAUAGAAGUAUGGUAAACAAACAAAAACUAUCAAAACAAGCACCAAUCAACAGAAAGACGAUCGAUAAUCACAUAAGAAGCUCACCGGAAAGUUAGAUCUUGAAACGGAAACUCAACCACCUCCACCUCGAACCAGACGGCGGGCGGCUGGAGUCCUCGGGACAACCGUCGAUGGCGCCGGCGUCAAUCGGCUGUCUGGUUUUGCAUAAACGCCACUGCUGUUGUCAACGGCGUGACGGAGUGGGCACCGGUGGUGGGAGAUCUCCGGCUUGGUUAUGCGUGAUGGCUGGUGUUAGUUGGCCAGGUAGGAGCUACCGGCUUCAUCAAUCCAGAUCUACGAAUCUGUUGUCUGGUUUGAGUCAACGCCACUGCUACUGCCGAGGGCAUGACGCGGUGAGCAGCGGUGGUGGGAGACCUCCGGCUUGGCUGGGCGUGGUGGCUGAUGUUGGUGAGUGACGGAGAGAGGCCGCAACCGGCGACGAGCUAGCAAGAGCAGGAGUCACUGAUGUAGGCGGAGCGCUGCGGGAGGGGAAAAAUAGCAGCUGGAGUGGCGGCCUCCGGCUUGGUUGACGGCGGAGAUUGGACAGCUGCAGCUGCGGGUAGGGACUUCACGGGAGUGGCGGCCGGUGGAGAGCUCACCGGCAUAGAAGCGGACGGUGCAGAUUCCGGCGUAUUAGCUCGGGACUGCGGCUGUAGGUGGAGUAGAGGCUGGAGCCUAGGCCGGAGUAGUCGAAGCAGGAGCGGGAGUUUUAGGCUUUGAAGGAGUGGCGGUUGUGGAAGGCGAAGCAGCCGAAGUGGCGGCGGCCUUUCGAUGAAGAGGGGGGCAAAGGUCUGUGCGGCUGCGAUUUAGGAUUUAGGGUUAUCGACUGGCUACUUCACGAGAUUGACAGAGAGGUUAGGCUCCGUAAGAGGUAAUAAUAAUAAUAAUAAUUCUUUCAAAAAUAAUAAUAAUACUACCUUCAUAAUA